rnacentral:lncRNA from 1 species
GAGCUCCCGGCUGCAGGCGGCGGCCAGGCAGACCUUGGUGUAGCCGCAGCCUCCCGGUGGGGUGCCCGCCAGGAACACCGGGACCAUGGGCCAGCUUUGCUGCUUCCCUUUCGCCAGAGACGAGGGCAAAAUCUGUCUCCAGUAGAAGGUGGCCCAGAUUAAAGAUGUGUUUCAACAUGCCUUUAAUCCCAGAUGACCUUCAACUCAGAGAUCUCCCUGUCUUAAUCUUCUGGAAUUCAUAGCCACUAUGCCUCAAGAUCUCCAUGCCAAGAUCCAGGUGUGGAGGCCAGAAGAGGGCUGAUCCUCUAGAACUGGGGUCACGGGCAGUUGUGAACUUCCAGAUGUGGGUGCUGGUCACCAAACCCCUGCAAGAACAGCAAGUGCUCUUAACUACUGAACCAUCUAUCCAGCCCCUCUAAAUUCUCUUCUUGAGACUACAUACUUUGAGAAGAGAACACCAGCUUCCCCAGCAACAAUGCAACAUUUAAGUGAUGUUGUGAUUACCGUAUUUUGCGACCACUAAGAAAUAUGUUCUAUUUAUUUCUGAAAUUGCUUUCAAAACAUCAUCAUCUUAAGUUAUGAUAGCACAAAAGGAAUUUCUACUCAUUUUAACAACUUCAUUUCCAUCUUGCAUUAGAGUUUGGACCAGUUUGCAUUCUAGAUGAAUCUCAGAAUAUCUUCUUUUAUGUAUUUUUGCCCUGAUCUUUAGUAUGAGUAGCUCAUACUUGUAAAAGGAGGAGUUGAUGAAAAAGAAUAACUAAAGUUUUGAGGACGGGGGUCCUACAGGUGGGGUCUUACAGCUUGCUGAAUUACAGUGUAAGGGCAACGGCAUGAUUUCACAAUUGUUCAAGUUGGGCUGGUUGUAUGAAACCGUUAGGAAUCUAACGAGCUUCCUGGAAAGCUGCUUGCCUCUCCUGUGCAUAAGAAAGGCCAAUGGCUGUUCUCAAGACACAGCAACAUCCUCUUCCUUCCUCUCUUUCUUUUCCCCUGGCCUGAAAACAAAACUGAAGUUUGCCACGUGAGAAGCUAAACCACGACUUGUGAUGUCUUGGCUUCAGUUUGGAAGAGUUCAUAAUUAUUUUUUAUAACUACCUACAACCUUGCACAAAUAAAAAUAUGUCAUUAUAAUCAACACUACCCAUUUCUGUGCUCACUUCCUAUUAUAACAAAUAUGAAUAUUUCCCAAGAAACAAAAACAAACAAACAAAAACCCCACAGAGAAAUGGGCAAGUUUUGAAAUAAUUAAGUUUAUCUUCUUUAAAAGGUAGCGGUGCAAUUUUCUUUACCUUAUUUAUGUGGGGUUAAUUACUUUAGAGGUCUCAAAAUGUAAGAUCUUUAGACUUGUAAUUUCUUAAGGACAGCUGAAAAUAAAAACCAUGAUAUUCCUGCUGCUUAUACACAUCAAGUGCCUUGAGAGUCUUUGUUUCAUAUGUAUUCAAAUAAAGACUUCAGUGUGGGGAAACAUUGUGACUAUAAUAUAAAGUUUCUUUGUAUAGUAACAAAUAAUUGUUUCUAUUUGUUGUUAUGAUUUUCACAAUAAAGGACCGUUUUCUAGGA